rnacentral:rRNA from 1 species
UACGUAGGGCGCAAGCGUUAUCCGGAAUUAUUGGGCGUAAAGAGCUCGUAGGCGGUUUUGUCGCGUCUGCCGUGAAAGUCCGGGGCUCAACUCCGGAUCUGCGGUGGGUACGGGCAGACUAGAGUGAUGUAGGGGAGACUGGAAUUCCUGGUGUAGCGGUGAAAUGCGCAGAUAUCAGGAGGAACACCGGUGGCGAAGGCGGGUCUCUGGGCCGUAACUGACGCUGAGGAGCGAAAGCGUGGGGGAGCGAACAGG